rnacentral:rRNA from 1 species
AAGCGGGAAAAGCUCAAAUUUGAAAUCUGGUGGCGCCCGAGUUGUAAUCUAGAGAAGUGUUGCCUGCGUUGGACCGUGUACAAGUCUCCUGGAAUGGAGCGUCACAGAGGGUGAGAAUCCCGUCUUUGACACGGACCAGCGCGUUGUGGCGUGCUCUCAAAGAGUCGAGUUGUUUGGGAAUGCAGCUCUAAAUGGGUGGUAAACUCCAUCUAAAGCUAAAUAUUGGCGAGAGACCGAUAGCGAACAAGUACCGUGAGGGAAAGAUGAAAAGAACUUUGGAAAGAGAGUUAAACAGUACGUGAAAUUGUUGAAAGGGAAACGCUUGAAGUCAGACGCGUUGACCGGGGAUCAGUGGGUGCAGUUCCUGGCCGACGGGCCAACAUCAGUUUUGAGUGAUGGACAAGGGCAUUGGGAAUGUGGCACCGGGUGUGUUAUAGCCCAGCGUCGGAUGCGUCAUUUGGGACUGAGGAACGCAGCACGCGGCCUGGUCGACCAAGCCCGUGCUUCGGAUGUUGGCAAUGGCUUUAAUCGACCCGUCUUGAAACACGGACCAAGGAGUCUAACAUGCCUGCGAGUGUUUGGGUGGAAAACCCUUGC